ensembl:lncRNA
GGCACCAAUAACACUGGGGGGUAUUCUGUCACAGCCCCCUCUGCGAUGCUGCCACACGGGCAGCUCCAAAGUCUUACAAUUCAAGUGUGAUUUUCAUUUUUUAUUUUUUUUUUAUCUUGGAGAAGUUCAACCUGUGUAUUACACACAUCAGGAAAGAAGAUUGUGGUGCCCAAGUGGAAAUGGAAUAAUUGACUUUGUCACGUAAUAACUGGAUGCUGACUGGACUCCAACUGAAGCUGUGAUUUUCCGUUCACUUUUGCAUGAGGAGGCUUUGCUCCAAAUAUCAAGGAUUAUAGCUGAAAUUGUCUCCAUAAUACCAUGGCGGAAGGAGCUGCCUCCUCCUCCUCCUCCACAGCCAGUGGGUCCAGUGGAGCAGCUCCACCACAGACGAUCCCCGUCAAGUCCAAAGGUCUGGGCCUCCUCGGGAAGCUGAAAGUGUCCGCGGAGCUGCUGGUGGCUCUGGCUGCUCUCCUGUCCUGGGUGGUGGUCGGAGUAGUGAUGUUUGACUUUGUGGAGUACAAGGCAGUCCCUGACAUUCAGCAAAUCGUUUCGGACCCCAUUGGAGCUGUAAACGACGCCGUCGAGGAAGCAUCCAGUCUACUCAAUAAGUUUCAGGAAUGUGCACCCGAUUUAAGUGACCCCACGUCCGCUGCCACCUACGUAGCUAAAGAAAUAUCUGAUGCAAAAGAUGGAUUUGUUCGCUAUUUUUCCGAUGAGGAAGGGAACUUCUACCUCAGCUAUGUUGACCCUGUGAUCAUCGGUAGACAAGCUUUCCAUUCGACCAAUGACUUAAUGCGUGGAGUCGUGGGCACCUUCAAGGACACAUUGUGCGCCAUUGUAGACGCCGCAUUAAAUACUAUAUCGGAUGUAAAUAAAGGAGAAGUUGACCUUAGCUGCAUUGACCCUGUGGUCGUAGGCCGAGGUGUCUUCAAUGUUACUAAUGGGUUUGUGUGUGGAGUGGGGAGCUACAUCCGGGAUGUGCUGUGUGCCCUUCUGGACACAAUUCUGGAUGUAGUGAAAGGAACCUCAGGAACCGUGGAUACUCCCUCCGUGGACCCUGUUGUAGUUGGCAGAAAUGUCUUCAGUCUUACAAAUGACACCGUGAGUAGACUAGUGGGCUACAUCCAGGACGUACUCUGUGCCAUCGUAGACAGUGUGCUGGAUUUAACUAAAGGAACCACCGACACAAGCUUCAUGGACCCUGUGGUUGUUGGUAGAAAUGUCUUCUGUGUUACUAAUGACUUUCUGAGUGGAAUAGCCGGAUACAUCCAGGAUGUGCUCUCUGCCGCCUUGGACGUGAUACUGGACACAGUAAAAUAUCUGCAGCAUGCUGUGGGAUUCAGCCCGACGUCAGCUCUAAAGAGAACAGCAGAAAUCAGCACAGAGCAGAUGAACACGCUUGUGAGCUACGUCUCCACGCUGAUUGGUCAACAAGACAUCAUGCCAGAAGUUUCCAUUGACCCCAUGAAAGUGGUUGAAGAUGCUCUGUUGGAGGCCUCGGACAAGAAAGAUUUGUUCGUGGCUUACAUGUCGAGCAUGCUUGUUGCUGAUCGAGGAGAACCUGUUGUAAAUGUAGUAUCUGAAAAAGAUGAAGCUGUAGCUCUCCCAUCUAAUUUGAAUAUGUUACGAAGAAAAGGAGAAUUUCUUCCGUCUUUGGGAAAAGUUACAGAGAUCAUGCAAGCUGCCAAAGAUGCUGCUGCUGCUUCUGCUGCUGAAGCCCCAGACUCAAAGAUCAAGGAGGAGGAUGGAGACGUUUCCACUGAAGCUGCCUACGAAGUGGACGUGGAGGAGGAGGAGGAUGUGAAACAUAUCAACCUUGAAGAAACAGAACAUGAACCACCAGCCAUCAAUGAAGGAGACAAGGUCGACAGAGAGGAGGAGGAACAUGAGGAGAUUCAAACAGAGGAGGAUGCGAUUUAUGAGGCGGAAGAAACAGAGGAUGCUGAAGGAGAAGAAGGUGGAGAUAUUAUUAAAACAGCCACUGAAGAAGAACAAGUAGAUGAACCAAGUGAGGAGCAGGAAGAGGAGAUCAAAGUUGAAGAUGUUUUGGCGAAAGAGGAGAAGGAAACACAUACAGAAGAGGAUGCAUUAAAAAAAGAUUUGGUAGUGGAAGUGGAGGAGGAGACCAUAUCUGAAGACAUUUUGGUAAAAGAGAGGGAGGAGGACGAAGAGGAGGAGGAGGAGAAAAAAACUGAAGAUGUUUUCGUAGACGAUGGUGAGGAAGAAGACGACAGAAAAACUGAAGUGGAAGUUGAGGAGGUGGAGGAUACUAACAUUGAAGAACACACCAUAGAAGAUGAUGAGGAGACAAAAACAGGACUUCUGGUAGAGGAGGAGGAGGAAGUGGUGGUGUUGGUGGUGCAGGAGGUCAAGCAUGAGGAGGACGGGGAGGUACAAAAUGAAGAGAUUUUAGUAGAAGAUGGUGAGGAAGAAGAGGAGAGUAAAACUGAAGUGGAAGUGGAGGAGACUAUAAUGGAGGAACAUGCAGGAGAGGAUGAAACAAAUAUAGAACUUGUGGCAGAAUUAGAGGAGGAGGAGGAGGAGGAAGAGGAGGAGGACGACGUGUUGAUAGGAGAUGGUGAGGAAGAGAAGGAGACAAAAACAGAAGAUGCAGUUGAAUAUUUGGAAGACAAUAAAGAGGAGGAGGAGGAAGACGGCGAGGACGAAGAGACAACAACAGAACUUGUAAUUGAAAACGAGGAGGAGACCGAAUCUGAAGAAGAUUUGGCAGAGGCUGGGAUAGAUGAUGAGAAAAAAACAGUAGAAGUUCAAGUAAAAUCAUUGGAAGAUUUUGAUGAGGAGGAGAACGAAGAUGAAGAUCUUCGUGUUGAUGAAGGAAGCGACAAAGAAAUAAAUGAAAUUACUGAUAUCAACGAUCAGCUUUCUAAAACUAACCAGGAACUAGGAGCUUUAGAUGCUGAAGAUAAAAAGAAUUUAGAGGAGGAGGAAGCAGAAGAACCGUUCAGAGUGGAGACGACGGAAGUGGACAAAGGAGAUGAAGAAGAAGAGCCAUCUGCCCAACGUCUUGAUUUUGAAAUUAUAUCAUCUAAAACACCAAAUAAUGCAGGUGUCAUACCCGAAUCCAACAACGUUAUAGAAGAGGAAACAACAGUCAAUGAAUACUCUGACAUCAUCAACGAACGUGAUGAAAACAAUGAUGAGAUUGAAAGCGUGAAAUCUGAAUCUGAACAAAAAAGGGAGGUUCAUGUUCCCUUUGAGAGACUGAGAAGAGUCGGCUCCAGAGCUGCUCACAAAGAGGAACACCUUCACAAACGUGGGAAAGUUCUCAAAGCGGCAAAGGAAAGACGAAAAGAAGUUAAAGACGCCAUUAUCAAAGACCUCGAGGAGGAGAAAAAAGAGGGAGCCAAACUUGAGGAAAUCAUUGAAAAGAAACCAAAAGAAGAAAAGCUAAAGGAAGAGGCUAAACCAUUUGAGAAGAAACCACUGAAGCACAAAGAAGAAGAGACUAAAAAGAAGGAAGAACCCAAUAAACCACCUAAAGGAGAGAAAAGAGUGAAGCAUACUAAGGAGGAGAAAGAAACAAAACAGGUGACAGAAGCGAAGAAAACCAAUAAAACAGAAAGACGCCAAGAAACCAUCUAAAACAGAACAAGAUGUCAUGAAACCAUCCACUGGAGUCAAGAAACCACUAAAAGAAGACAAAGUAGUCAAGCUACUACUUAAAGAAGAGAAAGAGGUUCAGAAAGAAACUAAAGCAGAGAAAGAGGAAAAGAAAUCAUUAAAAGGAGUCAAAAAAAUACCUCAAGAUGAGAAAGAGGAAAGGGAAGUUAAGAAAGCAUCUAUAGAGGAGAGAGAAGUCGAGAAACCAUCUCAAGGUGAGAAGGAGGUCAAGAAACUACAUGAAGAAGAGAAAGAAGUCAGGAAACCAAUUCAAGAAAAGGAAGCAGUAAAGAAAUCAUCUCACAAAGUGAAAGAAGUCCAGAAACAAACUCAAGCAGAGAAAAACAUCAAGAAACCAUCUAGAGAAGAGAGGUAUGUGAAGAAAAACGACAAAAAAGAAGUGAAGAAACCACCUAUAGAGGAGAAAGAGAUCACGAAAGCAUCUCCAGAAGUGAAAGAGAUCAAGAAACCAUCUGAAGAACAGACAGAGGUCAAGAAGACUAGACAAGAAACACAAUACAAGAAAGAAGAGAAAGAAGUCACAAAAGCAUUUGAGGAAGAGAGAGAAGUCAAGAGACUAUCAAGAAAAGAUAAUAAUGUUGAGAAACCAUCUGAAGAAGAAAAAGAAGUCAUAAAAAUCCCUGGACAAGAGAAACAAGUCAGGAAACCAAUUGCAGAAAAGAAAGAGGUAAAUAUAUCAUCUCAAGAAGAGAAGGAACCUCAAAAACCAACUCAGGCCCUGAAGAAAGUCAAGAAACGAUCGAAAGAACAGACGACGGUCACGAAACACACUAGACAAGAAAAACAAUGCAAUAAACCCACUCGAGUUGAGAAAGUAGUUGAAAAAAAACCUGAAGAGGAGAAAGAAGUCACAAAACCACGUGAAGAGAGCAAAGUCAAGACACCAUCCAGAGAGGAGAAAAGAGUCAAGACGCCACUAAAAGAAGAGAAACAAAUCAAGAAAACAUCUAAAGAGGAGAAACCAUUCAGGGAAACUUCUAAAGAAGAGAAAGAGGGCAAGAAAACACCUAAAGAACUGAAAAAAGUCAAGAUUCCACACAGAGACGUGACAAACGUAACAAAACCACUUCAAGAAGCAGUCAAGAAACAUUCAACAGAAGAAAAACAAGUCAAGACACCACCCAAAGAAAAGGAAGACGUCAAGACACCACCCAAAGAGGAGAAAGAGCUCAAGACUCCACCCAAAGAGGAGAAAAAGAUCAAGACACCACCGAAAGGAAGGAAAGAAGUCAAGACUCCACCCAAAGAGGAGAAAGAAGUCAAGACACCACCCAAAGAGGAAAAAGCAGACAAGAAACCACUUAAAGAAAAGAAAGAGGUCAAGACUCCACCCAAAGAGGAGAAAGAAGUCAAGACACCACCCAAAGUGGAGAAAGAAGUCAAGACACCACCCGAAGAGGAGAAAGAAGUCAAGACACCACUCAAAGAAAAGAAAGCAGUCAGCACUCCAUCCAGAGAAAAGGGAGAAGUCAAGAUACUAUCUAACCGAGGAAAAGGAUUAAAGAAUUCGCCAAAAGAAGAAAAAGAAGCCAACAAACCAUUGAAAGUACAUAGAAAUGUAUACAAACCAUCAAGGGCGGAGAGGGAAGUUAAUACAUCUUCUUUAAAAGGAAGAGAAGCCAAGAAACAACUUAAAGAAGUUAAAGAAGCAAUAAAACCAUCUCAAGAAGAGAAAGAGGUGAGGAAACAUCUUAAAGAACAGAAAGAAGAGAUAAAACCUCUGAAAGAAGAACUAACUGAAAUGAAGUCUCACAAAGAUGAGAAUAAAUCACUCAAAGAAAGGCUACAAUUGAAACUGAAAAAGCCUCAAGAAGAAAUUGUAGCGAAAGUAAUGAAGCCCAAAGAACUGAAGGAAGCAGGGGAGCCUUCCAAGGAAAGGAAAGAAUUGAAGAAACAUUCAAAAGAAAAGGAAAUAAGGGAGCCACCGAAGGAGGACAAAGAAAUCAAGAGACCUACAAAAGAAAAAGAGAAAAAAGAGGUUAAGAAUCCAUCUGAAGAUGACAAAGAAGUAAAAUACUUAAAGAAAGGGACGGAAGACAAGAAGCCGUCUCUGAGGGAUAAAAAAGAAAAAAUACUUUCAGUGGAGGAAAAAGAAGUCAUCACACCCAUAAAGAAAGAAAGAGACCCAAAGAAAUCUUCAAUGGAGAAAAACCAAGCAAAACCUUCCAAAGAAAAGGCAGUUCCAAAAAAGCUCUCCAGAAGAAAACAAGCACAAGAGAAACCUUCAAGAGAUGGAAAGGAAUCAACAAUACUCUCUCGAAAGGAAGAAAAUGAACCAAAGAAGCUCUCUGAAGAACAAGACCCUGAGAAACCCUCCAAAGACCAGAGAGAAGUGACUCCCAAAGAGCAAAAGGAAGCAAAGAAAAUAUCUAUUGAAAACGUAGAACAAACAAAACCCUCCACAGAGAAAGAAAUCAAAAAGACCCAUAAAGACCAACCUGUCCAGAUUGGUGAUACUAAGAAAGAUGCUGGACCCAAAAAGGCUGAGAGGAGGAUUAAAGUAGUCAAGGAAGAGGUUGCAUCUGUUCUGAAGAAGGAACACCGUAAUGUCACAAACGCAGCUGUGGAACCCAAGAGGGCAGUCGAGGUGCUGAAAGCUGCCAAAAAGCAGAGAGUUCUUAUCCCGAAAAAGGAGCACAUGAUUGUGACAAAGACAGAGGUUCCUGAAACUCCUAAAGUGAAAGCCAAACAAGAAUCUGCAAAGAAAGUGGCAGCUCAUAAAGAGCCCGUACAGGAACCAAAGGAAAAAAUCACACCUACGCGUGUUAAACGAGAUGAUGAACCUAAGAAGGCUGCACAGAGGAUUAAAGUACUUCUCAAUGUUACGAAAGCAGAGAUUUCUAAACACCCUGACUUGAAAGCCAAACCAGAACCUGCGAAGAAAGACGUUUCAAAGGACAAAGCAAAAGCGGGUCCUGCUAAGAAAGAAGCUGUUGCUCUAAAAGAAAAGGCCAAAACAGUCAACAUGAAAAGAGAACGAGAGGGCGCUCCCAGAAAUGCGUCUCUGGUCAAACCGAGAGUCAAAAUAGUGCCUGUGAAAAAAGAGGUCACAGUGCCAAAAAAGGAAGUCAAAGCAGCUUCUGCAAAAAAAGAAGCUGCUCUAAAAGAAAAUACAAAGACAAAAACCUCACAGAAAGAACCUGAGACCAAGCUGCUUCUCGCCAGAAAAGCAAUUAAGUUAACAAAGGAGACGCCUCAGCCACCUCGUGGAAAGAAAGCUCCUUCUAAAACUGAGGAUGACACCAAGGGAAAUGUCAAAUCCCUCCUCAGGAAGAAAGAACUGGAGACUCCUAAAGAAAAGAGCAAACUGGCUGCAGUGAAGAAAGCACCCGAGGUUCUAAAAGAAAAGGUCAAAACCUCUGCUGCAAAGAAAGAGGUCAGAGUUCGUAAAGAAAACGCAGAGCCUGUAAAACAAGAAAAAACAUUUGAGAAGAGGACAACCAAGGAGGAGAAAGCUAAAGAGGAUAGAGUUCUUAAAGAAAUACAAGAGCCAGCAAAGAAAGAAAGAUCUACUGAGAAGAAAGCUGCCAUGGAGGAGAAAAUAAAAGCUGGGCCUUCUGUAUCAGACAGCUUCCAAAUUGAAGAAGAGCUGCCCUACUUCCAGUGUUUCUUUUUGGACGAGGACGAGGCCCAAUUUCCUUUCCACGCCUUCUCGCCGAUGCAUAUUUGAGGCUUCAGUCUAAAUCCGGUCUGAGGUUUACAAUUUUUGUCAAUUUUACUGAUAAUGACCUGGUCACACCCUGCGCUGCUGAACGCAGCCUGCUGUUGGUUCUCACGAGAAAACCACGAACAGCAAAGGAUGAUGGGGGAUUUAAUGUGACGGUCGGACUUUCUUUCACUUCCAGAUUUGGUUGAGCUCUCGUACCGAAUACAUGCAGCCGGUGUCAUUCCUUUCCGUUUUGUUAUUUAUUUUGUGUGUUCAAUGGUUUUUAAAGGUGGAUAUCUUGGUGGAAUGGUGGAACUAUGUCGAGUAUUACCUCCGUGGAUCAUUCAUUUAGAUCCCCACAGCAACACAAGCAAAUGCAUUUUUUUUAGAAGGAGCACAAGGCUUUAAACAAGAUACAAAAUGGCCACAAUUGUGGAUUAAAGGUGGACAGAGCGUCGAUUCCCAGCGUUUACUUGAAAAGUGGUUCGUAGAGAAAUAGUAAGAAGAUUGUUAUGCACCAUAUGUAAUUUCAACUUUGUCCUUCAUCGCAUUGUUUAUGGGCAGAUUUUUAGUGCGUAUUUUAUUUUGCUUUUAAAGCCCUGGAAUUAACAAUUGGGCAUUUGUAGUGUUUGUUUAUUAUUCCAUUAUUCUUGAUAUCAUUUCAUUAAUUUCAAGGAAACCUUGUUUUUCACGUUCCUCUAUCUUACGAGAGAGAUGUAUUUUUCCGUUUUUGACUACGGCCUGUAAUGUGUCUAAAGGAAUGACCACGCAUUGUAUAUGAGAGCUCCCAGACGUACUGAUGAAACGCUACCUAUAAAGUCUUAUUUAACUGUGGACAUAUGCACACGCUCCUCAUUUGGGCGUUGGCGCUGAAAACGAGCAUUGCCUCGCCUGUACCUGUCAGAAUGAAUGAAGACGUGUUGUAAAAGGAUUUUCCCAACUGCUCACUCGGUUCCAAUUCCUUGACUUUAGGCGUUUGAAUUUGAUGAAACUUGUUGAAGUCAAUAAGAGAGAGCGAGUAAAAGAAUUGUCUCGCACAGUUGCACUGGUCACUCGAUAGACCAAAAAUGUGUGCAAAUAUGUAAAUAGCCUACAUGAUAUAUUGCAGCAACCUUUUGAACAGGUUCCUAACAUAUGACAUUUUAUUCAUGCAUAACUUAUAUUACAUGCAAAGGAUUUGUAUUACCUUUAACAAAUAUCCUGUGCUGUACAGUAUGGGUGACAUUAUUUCAGAUUGAUUUUGAAUACAAUUACUGGUCAGAACUUGAAUCCAAGUUAUAUUUUUGAAAUCUCUGAAGAGUGAUCGUGUGAAAGAUGAUGACAAGAGCUGCGAUAAUCAGCUCUGCAGGUUUUGAAGACCUGGAUGUUGCUACGGUGGUUAUGUUGGUAUCAAAGUGAAACAUUGAGAAGAAACAUUUACACAUUUGAAAAUAUCUGCACAUCAUGUGGCUACACUUUAAAUGGAUGCAGAUGGCGUCACAUGAUCUCGGAUGUAAACUGGUACGUGGACUCUCAGCCCGUACAAGCUGUUGUUUACCUGUGCCUCUUUAAAUUCUGCUCCAUAUGCCGCAUAGAAGACAGUUCGUGGAGCUUGUGCCACUUAUCCCAAGUCCACUCAAAUCCCCUUAUCUGUUUGGUUAGAAUAAUAGUCCAUGCAGUCGAUGGGGCAUAGGUCCUUUUUCCAAAAGUCGCAGCCUGCUGUCUUUGCAUGUGUAUUUUGAGAUGCAGAAUUGGAGCAAAAUAUUGCUGCUAGAAUGACAAAUGGCGUUUUGAUUUGAGUGGACAAUAGAGGAAUAUUUGUUUUUAUGGUUUGAAUUGAAUUUGACCUGAAAUGGACUUGUCAGGAUGUGCAAUACAGAAUUAAUUUAUGAAUAUCUGAUUGAUCAGAACCCUGUACAUUUAUCUUUUAGUCCUUGAAUGAAAUAUGCAUGAAGUGUGUUCGUGUUUAAUGUUUUUUGUGAUGGUUUUUACCUCCUUUGAGAAUAGCAACACAUUGGAAGUUAUCGAGUCACAUUUGAAAUAAUCUUAUUGUAAAUUGUUAAAUAAGUGGCAAGAUUGAUCGAUUUAUCAUCACUACUGCAACUGCUUUAACUGUAACCAAACGAAUGUGCCUAUGUGAAGAGUAGCAAUGUGACAUUAAAACAUAGCAAGUG